GUAUUUUUGUCAACAUGUUGGGGAAACAAACAUUCUCUGCAUGAAAAAAGUUUGUUGUAGACUUGAUAGUAGGAGUGAUUCCUACUCAGUGUUGAAGACUACCGUCGAGUUGUUUAGGAUGAGGGGACAUCACUUCAGCAGUAUUUGUCAAAAUGCUCGCCGCAUCGGACAUAUCACAGUGAAGCUUGUAAAGUUUCUGAACAGCACCAUAUGCACUAUGUCAUACAAUGCAACAUAUCGCAGGCAGUUAACCUGAAUCCCAAAGCUACAUUGAAGACCCCAUUAUUGAAAAACUGUCAUCAUCACAACCUCAGUACACAAAGAAUAUCUAGAGAGGAACAUCAAUUCAAGAUUGUUCUUUUCUUUCUCAUAGCUAGAUUUUCAAAAAUUGUUAGCCAUACAUCAAUAUAUAGUAGGUCCCAUGACUUCUUCCAUCCUUGUUUGGAAAUUGAAAGAUGUUAUGUUUUGAAGAUACACUAUGUAAGGCUAUAUAUGCUGUGUUCAUCACAUAUGUCAUGAACUACUGUACGUGUUCUCGAUGGUGAUGCCUGAAUUUCCUAUUUAAUAGAAACUAGAAUACAUUCACAAAAUUUUUUAUUAGUGCGGGACUACUGAAACUGCAAAGGAUUGCAUCUGUAGCUACAAAGAACCACAUAAUGAGAUGACGCUCAGUCCCUUCAGCUGCA